GGAUGAUUAGCUCAGUUGGUAGAGCACUUCGUUCACAUCGAAGGGGUCGUUGGUUCGAGUCCAAUAUCAUCCACCA
rnacentral:tRNA from 1 species